rnacentral:rRNA from 1 species
AUUGAACGCUGGCGGCAGGCCUAACACAUGCAAGUCGAACGGUAACAGGAAACAGCUUGCUGUUUCGCUGACGAGUGGCGGACGGGUGAGUAAUGUCUGGGAAACUGCCUGAUGGAGGGGGAUAACUACUGGAAACGGUAGCUAAUACCGCAUAACGUCGCAAGACCAAAGAGGGGGACCUUCGGGCCUCUUGCCAUCGGAUGUGCCCAGAUGGGAUUAGCUAGUAGGUGGGGUAACGGCUCACCUAGGCGACGAUCCCUAGCUGGUCUGAGAGGAUGACCAGCCACACUGGAACUGAGACACGGUCCAGACUCCUACGGGAGGCAGCAGUGGGGAAUAUUGCACAAUGGGCGCAAGCCUGAUGCAGCCAUGCCGCGUGUAUGAAGAAGGCCUUCGGGUUGUAAAGUACUUUCAGCGGGGAUGAAGGGAGUAAAGUUAAUACCUUUGCUCAUUGACGUUACCCGCAGAAGAAGCACCGGCUGACUCCGUG